GCAGGGUCACCUUUGAAGGAGCGGGUGCAUUACACUCAGAUCGCUCACAGCUGCGUCAAACAAACUCCAGGAGAAAGGACUGCGGGGAGCCACCGAACUGCAUAAAGGGAGGCUCUUGGGAGUGGAACUGUGGCAGUUUCCUUCUCUUUAUGUUUCUGUUAUCUUUUAUGUUUCCAGGUUUCUCCUUAUUCUCUAAGACGAGUAGUAUUGCCUGGACGAGGAACGCCCUACACAGUGCCUGCCAAAGGCUGACUGUCAUCCCUGUGUCAUUUGAGGGUUUACAGAGGAGGAAACGGAAGGCUCCAGAGAUGACACUCACCGGGAUCGGGGAUCGCACAGCGCGGGCUCGGGGAAGUUGGGGGAGGCACGCAACCUUUGAACCUUUUGCCCGUGGUUGGUGUCUGACCUUGGACAAGACCCCCUCCCGCAGCCCUGGGCGUCGGUUGUGAGCAGACGGCUGUCCCAUCUUGCAGCGGGCGGGUGGGCAGGAGCUCCACCUUCCGCUGCAGGCGCUCGCCCAGAGGAAG
rnacentral:lncRNA from 1 species